rnacentral:lncRNA from 1 species
UCAGAAACAUGUUGAAUCUCCAAAAAGGUCCAUUCCAGUGUAGAAGCAUCUGUCAUAGAACAAAUGGAAAACUACAUCUGCACCUUCCAGCAGAGACUACGAAAGGAAGAGCUACACAAGAAAGGUAUAGUGUUCUAGUUCUCAGUGGAGUCCAGUAUUGUUGCUACCAUUCUAGAGUAGAAGCAUCUGCCGUAGAACAAAGCGGAGACAUGUAAUUCAGAAAAACUACAUCAUCCCCUUCUAGGGAAGACAACAAAAGGAAGAGCUACAUAAGAAAGGUAUAGAGUUCCAGUUCUAUGGAGUCCAAUACUGUUGCUAUCAUAGGCUUCCCGCUCCGCACCAAGCAUAAGCAGCUCCAAAAAGGUUCCAAUCCAGAUGGGGCUCAGCAUCAUUCUGUAAGGUAUUUCUCCAUCAGUGAUGCAUCCUGUAGUUUAAAAUAAACUCAGGUGAAUCUACGACAAAUAUUAAAACUGCCUCAUUAUUUCAUAUCCAAGGCAGAAGAACUGGCAGGCUCAAACUAUAUUCUCUAUAGUUAUAAUAUAGGUUAUCAAACGGCGAGAAAUAGGCAGGCUAACUAAUAACUUUGGGAACCAGACAUAAAAGACGAUUGCUGCAAAAAAUACAGGCCAUUGGAUUAAAAAGAACUGGCAGGCUCAAUCUAUAUUCUGUUUAGUACCCCAGCUCCCUUUCCAGCAGCAGAGUUUCUUAACUGCAAGUUUUGUUCUAGUCAGAAAUGAAUAUUUGUUUUGUCUGUACAAACUGAAGGGAUGCAUAUAUAGAUGGACAGCAUAAAAAGCAGCACCACUUGUUCCUGGUCACUCAAGCCCGGACAUCCUUAUCAUCCUUUUCUUCAACAGGAGGCGAAGAAGCAUCAGCUUGACCACCAGAGCUCGCCUGGUGCAUGAAAGAAAACCAGUGAAGAGGGAGACAUGUGUAAAUAUGUGGGCAUAUAGCAUAGCCGGCAGGGCACGGCGAUUUGGUACAAAAGGAAACACAAACAUGAGUGCAAUUAAGUAGUUAUAAGCAUAUUAUAGUUCUCUGUUUCAGAAGACAUACCUUGGGGUUGUAGCUUGAAGGAGACCAGUA